AGAGGUUAAGCAAGAAAGAGCACAGGGUGGAUGCCUUGGCACUGAGAGCCGAAGAAAGACGUGAUAAGCUGCGAAAAGCUGCGGGGAGGAGCAAAUAUCCUUAGAUCCGCAGAUAUCUGAAUGGGGAGACCCACAUAAGAAGACCUUAUGUAUCCCUGCAUGAAUCCAUAGUGCAGGGAAGGGAACCCGGUGAACUGAAACAUCUAAGUAGCCGGAGGAGAAGAAAACAACAGUGAUUUCCGAAGUAGCGGCGAGCGAACCGGAAGGAG
rnacentral:rRNA from 1 species